rnacentral:ncRNA from 2 species
AAGCGUUCAGCCCCUUUUGGGGUCGCAGCACGAGUCACGCCAGGGAACGGGGACGUGAC